rnacentral:rRNA from 1 species
UACGUAGGGUGCAAGCGUUGUCCGGAAUCAUUGGGCGUAAAGAGCGUGUAGGCGGCUUGUUAAGUCUUGCGUGAAAUCUCGGGGCUCAACCCCGAGCGGUCGUGAGAAACUGGCAGGCUAGAGUGCGGGAGAGGAGAGUGGAAUUCCUGGUGUAGCGGUGAAAUGCGCAGAUAUCAGGAAGAACACCCGUGGCGAAGGCGGCUCUCUGGAACGCAACUGACGCUGAGACGCGAAAGCGUGGGGAGCAAACAGG